rnacentral:ncRNA from 1 species
GAUGAUAUUUGGUAAACUUAUAGAAAUAUAAGGACACAAAGCCAGAGUCUAAGGUUAAUGAAGGUGGAAUUGGUAUAACUAUGACAGUUCGGUUGCAUUA